GACGAACGCUGGCGGCGUGCCUAACACAUGCAAGUCGAGCGGGGUUGAAGCGAGGGGUAACUCGAGUUUCUACCUAGCGGCGGACGGGUGAGUAACGCGUGGGCAACCUGCCUCAAGGACUGGGAUAACAGCUCGAAAGGGCUGCUAAUACCGGAUAAGCCUAUGGCCUCGCAUGGGGCCAUGAGCAAAGGGGAAACCCGCCUUGAGAUGGGCCCGCGUCCCAUCAGCUAGUUGGUGAGGUGAAGGCUCACCAAGGCGACGACGGGUAGCCGGCCUGAGAGGGUGACCGGCCACACUGGGACUGAGACACGGCCCAGACUCCUACGGGGGGCAGCAGUGGGGAAUCUUGCACAAUGGGCGAAAGCCUGAUGCAGCGACGCCGCGUGAGCGAAGAAGGCCUUCGGUUGUAAGCUCUGUCUGGAGGGACGAAGGAAGUGACGGUACCUCCGGAGGAGCCGACGGCUAACUACGUGCCAGCAGCCGCGGUAAACGUAGCGUG
rnacentral:rRNA from 1 species